rnacentral:ncRNA from 1 species
ACAGUACAAACUGAGCAGGCACUGCAACACGAAAUAUUUGUGUUCAGAGGGCCGGGCCGCUAAUGCGGCAACAGAUAAUUCGAUGCAAUAAGAUUCGAUAUCUGUGGGACAGU